UGCUAAAGAGAAAUGAUCACUAUGGGUCAGACUCAAUAGAAUUAGAUCCAUUCCAAAUAGCGAGAAUUAGGAUUCUUGAUCCCUCUCAAUCUCUCUUUCAAUUCGAGGAUCCAGAGAGGUGUUUUCAUAGUCAUCUCCGAAUAUUUGCCAUCUCCGAAUAUUUUCGAUUUCAUUUUUCUAUGAUAUGUCUUUCUAUAUGAAAAUUGGUUAGUUACGAUGUACGAUGAUCCCUGUUAAGCAUCCAUGGCUGAAUGGUUAAAGCGCCCAACUCAUAAUUGGUAAAUUUGUGGGUUCAAUUCCUGCUGGAUGCACGCGAACGGGAACGUUCCAUAAGUCUAUUGGAACUGGCUCUCUAUCUAUGGAAUUGUAACAUCCCUGUAAUUAGAAUUUAGACAUUAGGUAUUAGUGUGUGGUAUGUAUAUUAGGAUUUGUACAAAGCACUAGGGGUGUAUUUGUAAAGUAUGAAUUUUAUAAGUUCUUGUGUGCAAUUGUGUGAAAAUAUUCUUAAAUGUCAAAUUCAAUUGACUAUAGCAAAGAAAAGUACAAAUAUGAAGUUAAAAAUCUAAGAGAAAUAGACUUUGAACUAAGGAUUUAUGUGAAAUUAAAACAAAUAUAAGGGUUACCUAUGAAAUGGUUGGAAUAUAAAAGUCAAAUUCAAAUUUACUUAAGGGUUAAUGUGUAAAAAUACAAGUAAUCAUGACAGGUCAGAAAAGUUUGUAAACAUGCCCAAAGUUUGAUCAAAAUUAGGUGGGCAAAGACAAAUUAAUUUAAAUUUCAUCUUAUUUCAAAAUGUAAUCCAAAUAGCUGUAAAAUUUGAGUUUCUAAACCCAAGCCCUAAAGCAAAGUUGUAGAGUUUGAAAAACUCUACAACUUUCAUGUUGAACACUUUUUCAUUUGACCUUUGUAGCAGUGGGAAAAUUUUAGUUUAUAGACGGGUCCCUGAAUUCUUUAGAAAUCACAAACAGGUCCCCCUGACAUCCCCUGCUUCGUCUUCCUCUGGCACGCCGCUUCCCCCUCUGCUUCACCUCUGUCUCCGCCGCUCACCGCCGGCGCCGCGCCCUAGGCUCCACCUCCAGCCUCCGCAAGUAUCCACGCGUCGCUCUCUACCUCUCCCACCUCGGCUCCUCUCUCCCCCUGGCAUCUCCUGCGCUCGCCACGCGCGCGCCGUCGCCGCUCGGCCGCCACCGAGCCGCCGCCGUGGCAAGCCUCCUGUCGAGCAACCAGCCCUGUGUUAGCGCGCGCUUGAGCCCUACAACAACCCCACCGAGCUGCUGGUCGCAUUCUUUUUGUGGCAGAACCAAUCUGAAUUAUACCGGCUCAAGUACGCGAGUCCAAUCCCGAGGGCUCCAACGUGCUUCAAACGGUAUAAUCCCUUGGCCUGUCGGGUAACGUCCCGAUAAACCACCGAUACACAGGAUCAAUAAGGUUACCUCACACGAAGGUGGGUCCAGAGAUACAAUCACCAUCACAAGUUACAUAAUAGGGAAUUACAUUACAAGAGUUUAUAAAAGUAGUACAAAGUUUCAAACUUAGAGAAAACAAUACAAACUGUUUAAGCUAUGAUUUUUAGCAGCGGAAAACAUACGCGACGAUUACAACACGUCGUCAAGACGGAUAUCAUGUUAAGCCCUGUCACGACAUCACUCGAGAUCAUCAGUAUUGGCCGGGGACGGAUCCCAUUCCACGGACCAAUCAUCUGGAAGAGCACAGGGCCAUGACAGGGAAAGAGUGGGGUCUUCAAAGGCUUUACCUGAAAAACAUAAAACUAGCAAGGCUGAGUAUACUAAUACUCAGCAAGGCUUACCCGGGAUUGGGUAUACUUUAGCCCAUAACUAGACUUAUGAAGGCUUAUAAUAGUUCUGGGUUUAGUUUCAGCUGAAAAGCAACUAAGAAUAUAACCUAUUUUCAAGUUUUAGCUUUCAGAUUCUAGUUCGAUUAGCCAUUCUAGGUAAGCACCUAUACUAAACAAGCAAUGUAGAUAUUAUCAUCCAUCAAGAUUAUUUCUUCAACAAUUACACUUUUUACUCGAUGUGGUAAAGGGAUAAGCAGUCUCAUACAUCGUGAGAGGCGGACGAUUCCUGAAUCGAGAUUCAACCUUGCAAGGUAAACCUAACACACACGCUUGGAAUACGAACAGGACGUUCCGAAGCAACUGUUUGCCUUUCAUUCCGGGUUGUGGACAGGGCCACCACUAGCGACUGCAGGACCAUAUGCACACCCUAUAUGUGCAGGACGUAUGUCUGUAGCGCGACUACAAAACCCGUACUCCUGGUUGCCCUUGCAACACGUAUUCCCACACAUCGAACAUAAGUACCCAGAAGAAGCAAGACGAGUGGUGGUCAGUAUGUCCACUUGCCGGGCCGAUUGGCUACUAGGCUUACCGCUUACCAUAUUUCGCGGCAUGUGGCUAGUACUUUCAAACGCUUAGCCACCACUACCACAUGGAUCGGCCUUAUCAACUUUUAACGAAACAGACAGGGUAAAUUUCUAGGUCAUGAUACAACACAUGACCCUGUCCGUCAUCCUUAUAGUGGUUGCAGGAAUGUAAACAUGCAACUCCUAUAUCGCGCGAGUGACAGGAAAUCACUCGACUUCUACCGGUCCUAUUAGCGGAGCAACUAUCCGAUAAGGACUCGGGAGCAUUACAUUGGAUUCCUAGGAUUCAUGCAUCUAGGGUUUCACUUCAAUUCCUAGACUUAAUGCAAGAUAUAAUAUAGAUAGACAUAGAUUGCAGUGUAAAUAAAGUAGUGGGAUAUGUCCGGGGCUUGCCUUAACUGGUGAGGCUGGGUUAGUCAAGUUAAUAACGUCCGAACUUUGGUUCGGGCCUUCAGAGAAUUCCCUGACGAAGUUCUCGGGAUCUUCAGAAUAACCUCCUUCUGGUUCCGGGAUUAGCUGUUAAUUUCCGUCGGUGGGAGAGAUCGAGUCUACAUGAUAUGCAAGAUGGAGUUCAAUGGAUGCAUACACUUUCAUUUCAAUUCACGAUAAAGUUGCAAUUCAAAUAAAAGAACAUUACAUUUCGACAAACAACCUAACUACCCUGUACUGGGCAGUCAUUUAUCGGGUAUCAACCAAAGUAACUAGUUACGUUAAGCAACAAGGUGGGUUACCCUAAACAUUUAUUCUAACUUCAUUGGGUAGCAUGUUCGGUUAUCUAAUUGGUUGGUGUAAAGGUCUUGGCUUUAACUGAUGAGGAUGCAUCAGGUUUAGCCGAUGGAUGUGCUUUGGUCAUGUCUAACAGAGGCGUGUCUUAACUGAGAUGUGCUUAAGUAUUAUCCUAAGUAACUAGGUGUGGUUGCAUCGGCUGGAUUACGUCAACACAACAAUUGAGUGCCGUACAGCCGAUAGGGUUAGCUAAGUUAGACCUAUUUCAAGAAUUAGGUGUAACAGAACACUAAUAUUAUACUAGGUUGGUGAGACCACAAGUGCGAAACUAGUCUAACGAGAAUGUGGCCGAUAGGUGUAUAGUUGAUGGGUUGUACGUGACUGACUUCUUAGCCGACAAAUCGGCAGAUAGAAGUGUGCCGGUAAAGAUUGGAAAACUAAGAAUUGAUCGGACACAAUUGACCUAUAUGGAAAACAACUAAAAUCAGCUUGGAUUAGCCGAAAGCAAGAAUCUUAAGAUCUAGUGUGAAAACUCAGAUAAAUCGGCUGUUUAACAAAGGUUCACACAUAGCCGAUUCACAUUUUAAUCCGACAGAGUACCUAGCCGAUAGGUAUGUAGUCGAUAAGUGUAUCCUAAAGGUAUGUGAUCGAUAAAGGCCGGGGUGUGCUGAUUUUACAGAAAAGGUCCUAGCAAGAUUAAAAUCUACAUACAAACAUUUCAUCAACUACAACACAAAGGCACUUAAAUUCCAUAGCUAAAGAGCAGGAAAAGACUUGAAAAUUUUUACACAAGACUAAACAAGAAGGACACAAGCUAUAUUUCAAAGAUUAGCUGCAAUCCAAUAGGUUAACACUUAAGAACUUAUGGUAUAAAAAGGAAUCUAAGCCUUAAAUCAUAAAUAUUAACUCAUGACUAAAGCAUUAAUUUAAUUGAAAACAGAAAUUAAGUAUUUCAAGUUUAAAUUAAAUUCAAAUUUGAAUGUGAACCCUAAGUAAUUAGAGUUAUAAAGUUUCAAAAACUUAAACACAGCUUAUUGUGUAUUUAAAAGAUUUUGAUUAAAAGAUCUAAUUAGAUAAGCUUCACUGAAAAGAUUUAGUUAAUUGUAUUAUAAACAAAUUGAAUUAAUCCAAGAUAAAUAUUAAAACAUAAAUUAGAGUUAAAUUCAGAUUUAGAUUUGAAUUUAAACUUUUUGAGUAAAGAAUGUUAUAAGAUUUUGAAUAUUUAAAAAUAGAUUACUUCAUAAUUCAUGAUUAAGAGAUCUAAUUGAUUAAAGUUUAAAAGGUAUGCUUAGCAAAUUUUUGCUCAAAAUAAUUUGAAAUGGUUAUCUUAAAAGAAAUUAAAUUAUAUCAUGAAUUUAGAUUUGAAGAUUUUAUAUCACUUUAUAUGUCAUCUAUAGAAAUUUGUAUAUCAAAAAUCAUGAUCACAAAGUUAACCUAUAGGGUUAAAAUUGGAAUUACGGAUUGGAUAUUACAUUUCCAUGUCUUAGAUUCAACAUUGAUGCAAAACUAUUUGGUUUCAAAUCAAACUCACUUAAUAGAAGUUAUAGAGUUCAAAACCUAGUUUCAAACAAAACUGGUUUUGUAAUUUUUGGAAUUUCCUACAAUUCUCUAUUGAAUUUACAAGUCAAAAAUAUCACUCACAUGAAAUAACAAACAUCCAUUCACUUCCAUUCUAAAUACAGUACAAACUGUCCAUUUUCACAGCAUGGUCCUAAAACAAAAGUGAUAGAAUUUGAAAUGAAGAUUCACAUGUAACUGGUUUUAUAUUUUUUUGAAUUUUCUACGAUUUCCUAGGGAUUUUCAAAGUUCAGCACAUUGGAAAGGUUGAAAACUUUCAUUUGGACCCUUGGAAAGAUUUGGGGCUUUACAAUUGGGUCCUCCUGCCAUGGAUGGCCGGAGCAAGCUCGGGUUCAUCCCGAUUCCGGCGAUGGAGUGGAGAAUCCGCAAGGGGAAGGGGGUGGGAAGGAUGAGGGUAUUCGGGCGCACCGAUUGGCACACUUGGGAGGAGAAGAGACGGCCGGGGAAAGCCUGCCGGCGUUGAGGCAGUAGGGCGGCGGCGGGCGGCACUGGGGGCAGCACUCCGGCGAGGGGAACGGCGCAAAGGGGGUGGGGAUUAGCUUCAAGAGGGCUUGGGGGUGCUAUUUAUAGAGAAAGGAAGGGAGGAGAGGGACGCACGGCCGGGCGCCACGGCGGCGGCACGGUGGCGCGGCUCUGGCAGCUCGGGCAGGCGGUGGUGGGUGCGUGGCGGCACGGGAAUGGGCGGGGGAAGUAGGGGAUAAGGCCGGGGAAGAGAUAAGCGGUGCCCAGGAGUGGAGAGGGGGGGCAGGGGGGCUGCUCUGACGGCCGGAAUUAAAGAAGGACGGCGGCGGCGUGCUGAAACAGAGAAACAGAGGAAGCAGCCAGAGGUAGAAGAUGAGUGGGAGAGCGCCAAGGACCUGUUUGUAAUUUGCAAAAACUUCAAGGGCCCGGAAGUAAAACUAAAUUUCCCACUGAUACAGGGCUCUAAUGGAGAAAUGACCAAAAUGAAAGUUGUACAACUUUUCAAGCUCUACAACUUUGCUUUAGGGUUUGAACUCCAAAACUCAUGGUAUGCAACCUUAUUUUGGAAACUUUGAACUAACUUUAAAUUUUAUAAAGACUUGUCCUUGUUACAUAUUUUACACACAACUUGGGCCUAGGUACAAGUUUUCAGAACUGUCAUGAUUACUUGCAUUCUUAUAAUUUGGCCCCUAGUAACUUUUGAAAAUUACUUGUGUAAAUCAAAUAUUUGCGUAUAAGGACUUAUACUUUUAUAAAAUUACAUAAAUACCCUUGUUUUUACCACUUUACCCAAAAUUUUUACACACUUCAACAUACACAUUUCCAAUGAAACUUUUGGAUAAAUAAAUAUAUUUUUACAAGGGUUAAAACAAGGAAAACAUGUUUACAAAACCACUUUCACUUAUUUUGAAAUUACCCUAAUCCAAAUACAUUUUGCAAAAACAACCCUAUGUUUUUCUGUAAUUACAAAAAUACCCUUUUUACUUGUAUUUUAAAUUUUCAACAGUUUCACACAAACACACAAAAGUUUUAUACUAACAAGCGUACACUUCACACUAUCAAAUUAUAAGCCUAGCUUACAGAUACAUGAACUGUCACAGCCUUCCCCCCUAAAAAGAAUCUCGUCCCGAGAUUCGGACGUAAGGCUCUGAAGGGAAGAGAAGCAAAUCACCCAUUAAAAAUGGCAAGAAGCAAUCGCACUAGAGAAGAUUGAAGUUGAUGACGAGAGCAUGGCGAGAUGAGUAUAACGAGAGUAUGAAGAGAUUGUACAUAGGUGAGUUUGACAAGAUAAGAGAUUGUACAUGAGGACGAAACUCAUGGAUAACAAAUAAGGAUGGUAUAAGGGUUUGACAAAAUGAUGUUUGAAGUAUUUUUGCUCAGAGUUUAUUACUUAAAUAAUUUAGAGGAUGUUGAUUGUAAAACAUGCCUAUUUAUACUGAUGCAAUCAAGGGAUAAUGAUAAAAUGCUCCAAUUCAAAGUGUAAUGCUGGAUAUAUAUACCCAUGAAUGUGAUGCACUGUUUGGGAUGAGGAUGCAAUACGAGGAUGAAGGAUUCCAUGCACGAUUAAGAUGGUGCAUAUGACACAAUGCAAUUGCCAUGAUGCUGACCAAAUGAUGCAUAUCCCAUGAUGCAAGGAUGAUGAUACUCGCAAUGUAUGCACGUAUGAAAUGCAUGAAAUAUGAUGCAUAUUGUUAUCAUAAGUUGAUGAUGCACACGACUCGCACCCUGCAACCGUUUUCUCGUAACUAACACCUGGGUAGUUCUACAUCCUUAAGCGAGGAUCAAAAGUUAGGACACUAGUAAGGUUGCAUAAAAGGGGAUUGCAGUGGGGUUACGUCACAUAGACCUAGUCACCAGUGCGCUCCUAAUGGCUCAGUUAUGUGGCUGCAGCACACCUGAGGCCUUAGGUUCCGACACGGUAUCAUGGUCAUGUGAUUAAACACCACCACAAAAGAGGAAUAACAACCUUGUAGUGCCAAUAGCAACAAGAUAGACUUAGGAACUCGAGGAUAACUCGAAGGUUGUACUGGACACCCACCCGUUAGUCAGUCUACGGAUUUCCGAUGAUGAUGCAACACCAUGCAUUGACCAAAGAUGGUAUGUGUUAUGAUGUAUGACUUUUGCUGGGAGAAUUGUAUUCAAAAAGUAACUAUUGUCAUACAUCUUUUUAAUUUUUUCCAAAAUCAUCUGAGCAAAAAUUGAAGGUACAACUUUCAGAUGUUGUAGCCAAAAUAGCCAACAAUAUAAGGUACAACAUUAAAAGAGAAAAGGUGAAUCACUGAACGAUGGAUUCAAGGGUUUGAUGAUAGUCAUCAAGGUUUAACCAUCAAAAGAAAAGCUCAAAAAGAAAAGCUCAAUGGUUCUGCCGAAACAGAUUCAAAGCAAGAUUAGGGGUUUGAUUUGGCUGUCAAGCUAAGAUUGGUGAUAGAGCUCAAACAUAAUCCAAUCCAAUUGAUUCACAAAAGACUAUCUUAACUCUAAAUUAACCUAGCAUAUUACGUUAACUUUUACAACACAAAGUCUAGGCAGGCAUUCAGAUACAAGCACAUGUUUCAGUACAUCAACAUAACAACAAGGCAAUCAGGUCAAUCCAAGAUGUCAUGAUGCAUGCACGUUCUACACGUUCUCACAAACAAAAAUAACUGCCAAGUAAUCUUGGUCUUACGUGGUUAGUUACGGUGGCAUCAUAUAAAUACGUCUCUCCCUAUAUAUAUAUACUAGUCGUUCUUACGUUCAAGCUUACGCAACGAGGUUAGCAUACCUGCAGAAAAUCACAAUAUAUAUAUAUCUGUUGAACCUUUCAUUCCAGCAUGUCAUGAAAGCGUCCCCAAACAUUACUGUUCACUAUAGAAACAGCAUCUGUACAAUUACCGCUGUACAGACAACGUUAACAUACGUCGUCGAGACAACAUAUUCACGGGGGGUACCGCAAAAUGCGGGGGUAUGAACAGCGAUCGCCAUACCCUGCGCCGAACCUUAUACUCCCAAUGUAGUCAACCGAGGUUCGUACAUUGGCAGCAUCUCAAGUAGGCCACUGCUUGAGAAACAGCGUUCGGUUCGCAUCACCGAUGGGAAGGCCAAGCUCCCUCAGUUGGCUGAGGAUCCUUACCUUCUUACCUCACGAUCGAAGAUGUCGUUACAGAAUGUAAAGUUGGGUUGUGCAUGAAUUUAAGUUUUGACAGAAAAGUAAUGCUGGUAGUUAGGAUUAUAUACAUAUAUAUAGCCACCUCUAUUUCCCUUAUAAACAUUACCCUAGGGCUUUACGUACUAAGCUCAAUCCUUAACGAAUCCAACGUAGUUUUGCCAAAUACUUUGUUGGUCAAACUUUUAUGCUGAAAGUAUUUUUAAGGUAAAAUGUAUCUCCAGGGUAACCUUAUAGCUCUGAUACCAGCUGUGGCAGAACCAAUCUGAAUUAUACCGGCUCAAGUACGCGAGUCCAAUCCCGAGGGCUCCAACGUGCUUCAAACGGUAUAAUCCCUUGGCCUGUCGGGUAACGUCCCGAUAAACCACCGAUACACAGGAUCAAUAAGGUUACCUCACACGAAGGUGGGUCCAGAGAUACAAUCACCAUCACAAGUUACAUAAUAGGGAAUUACAUUACAAGAGUUUAUAAAAGUAGUACAAAGUUUCAAACUUAGAGAAAACAAUACAAACUGUUUAAGCUAUGAUUUUUAGCAGCAGAAAACAUACGCGACGAUUACAACACGUCGUCAAGACGGAUGUCAUGUUAAGCCCUGUCACGACAUCACUCGAGAUCAUCAGUAUUGGCCGGGGACGGAUCCCAUUCCACGGACCAAUCAUCUGGAAGAGCACAGGGCCAUGACAGGGAAAGAGUGGGGUCUUCAAAGGCUUUACCUGAAAAACAUAAAACUAGCAAGGCUGAGUAUACUAAUACUCAGCAAGGCUUACCCGGGAUUGGGUAUACUUUAGCCCAUAACUAGACUUAUGAAGGCUUAUAAUAGUUCUGGGUUUAGUUUCAGCUGAAAAGCAACUAAGAAUAUAACCUAUUUUCAAGUUUUAGCUUUUAGAUUCUAGUUCGAUUAGCCAUUCUAGGUAAGCACCUAUACUAAACAAGCAAUGUAGAUAUUAUCAUCCAUCAAGAUUAUUUCUUCAACAAUUACACUUUUUACUCGAUGUGGUAAAAGGGAUAAGCAGUCUCAUACAUCGUGAGAGGCGGACGAUUCCUGAAUCGAGAUUCAACCUUGCAAGGUAAACCUAACACACACGCUUGGAAUACCAACAGGGCGUUCCGAAGCAACCGUUUGCCUUUCAUUCCGGGUUGUGGACAGGGCCACCACAAGCGACUGCAAGACCAUACGCACACCCUAUAUAUGCAGGACGUACGCCUGUAGCGCGACUACAAAACCCGUACUCCUGGUUGCCCUUGCAACACGUAUUCCCACACAUCGAACAUAAGUACCCAGAAGAAGCAAGACGAGUGGUGGUCAGUAUGUCCACUUGCCGGGCCGAUUGGCUACUAGGCUUACCGCUUACCAUAUUUCGCGGCAUGUGGCUAGUACUUUCAAACGCUUAGCCACCACUACCACAUGGAUCGGCCUUAUCAACUUUUAACGAAACAGACAGGGUAAAUUUCCAGGUCAUGAUACAACACAUGACCCUGUCCGUCAUCCUUAUAGUGGUUGCAGGAAUGUAAACAUGCAACUCCUAUAUCGCGCGAGUGACAGGAAAUCACUCGACUUCUACCGGUCCUAUUAGCGGAGCAACUAUCCGAUAAGGACUCGGGAGCAUUACAUUGGAUUCCUAGGAUUCAUGCAUCUAGGGUUUCACUUCAAUUCCUAGACUUAAUGCAAGAUAUAAUAUAGAUAGACAUAGAUUGCAGUGUAAAUAAAGUAGUGGGAUAUGUCCGGGGCUUGCCUUAACUGGUGAGGCUGGGUUAGUCAAGUUAAUAACGUCCGAACUUUGGUUCGGGCCUUCAGAGAAUUCCCUGACGAAGUUCUCGGGAUCUUCAGAAUAACCUCCUUCUGGUUCCGGGAUUAGCUGUUAAUUUCCGUCGGCGGGAGAGAUCGAGUCUACAUGAUAUGCAAGAUGGAGUUCAAUGGAUGCAUACACUUUCAUUUCAAUUCACGAUAAAGUUGCAAUUCAAAUAAAAGAACAUUACAUUUCGACAAACAACCUAACUACCCUGUACUGGGCAGUCAUUUAUCGGGUAUCAACCAAAGUAACUAGUUACGUUAAGCAACAAGGUGGGUUACCCUAAACAUUUAUUCUAACUUCAUUGGGUAGCAUGUUCGGUUAUCUAAUUGGUUGGUGUAAAGGUCUUGGCUUUAACUGAUGAGGAUGCAUCAGGUUUAGCCGAUGGAUGUGCUUUGGUCAUGUCUAACAGAGGCGUGUCUUAACUGAGAUGUGCUUAAGUAUUAUCCUAAGUAACUAGGUGUGGUUGCAUCGGCUGGAUUACGUCAACACAACAAUUGAGUGCCGUACAGCCGAUAGGGUUAGCUAAGUUAGACCUAUUUCAAGAAUUAGGUGUAACAGAACACUAAUAUUAUACUAGGUUGGUGAGACCACAAGUGCGAAACUAGUCUAACGAGAAUGUGGCCGAUAGGUGUAUAGUUGAUGGGUUGUACGUGACUGACUUCUUAGCCGACAAAUCGGCAGAUAGAAGUGUGCCGGUAAAGAUUGGAAAACUAAGAAUUGAUCGGACACAAUUGACCUAUAUGGAAAACAACUAAAAUCAGCUUGGAUUAGCCGAAAGCAAGAAUCUUAAGAUCUAGUGUGAAAACUCAGAUAAAUCGGCUGUUUAACAAAGGUUCACACAUAGCCGAUUCACAUUUUAAUCCGACAGAGUACCUAGCCGAUAGGUAUGUAGUCGAUAAGUGUAUCCUAAAGGUAUGUGAUCGAUAAAGGCCGGGGUGUGCUGAUUUUACAGAAAAGGUCCUAGCAAGAUUAAAAUCUACAUACAAACAUUUCAUCAACUACAACACAAAGGCACUUAAAUUCCAUAGCUAAAGAGCAGGAAAAGACUUGAAAAUUUUUACACAAGACUAAACAAGAAGGACACAAGCUAUAUUUCAAAGAUUAGCUGCAAUCCAAUAGGUUAACACUUAAGAACUUAUGGUAUAAAAAGGAAUCUAAGCCUUAAAUCAUAAAUAUUAACUCAUGACUAAAGCAUUAAUUUAAUUGAAAACAGAAAUUAAGUAUUUCAAGUUUAAAUUAAAUUCAAAUUUGAAUGUGAACCCUAAGUAAUUAGAGUUAUAAAGUUUCAAAAACUUAAACACAGCUUAUUGUGUAUUUAAAAGAUUUUGAUUAAAAGAUCUAAUUAGAUAAGCUUCACUGAAAAGAUUUAGUUAAUUGUAUUAUAAACAAAUUGAAUUAAUCCAAGAUAAAUAUUAAAACAUAAAUUAGAGUUAAAUUCAGAUUUAGAUUUGAAUUUAAACUUUUUGAGUAAAGAAUGUUAUAAGAUUUUGAAUAUUUAAAAAUAGAUUACUUCAUAAUUCAUGAAAGAGAUCUAAUUGAUUAAAGUUUAAAAGGUAUGCUUAGCAAAUUUUUGCUCAAAAUAAUUUGAAAUGGUUAUCUUAAAAGAAAUUAAAUUAUAUCAUGAAUUUAGAUUUGAAGAUUUUAUAUCACUUUAUAUGUCAUCUAUAGAAAUUUGUAUAUCAAAAAUCAUGAUCACAAAGUUAACCUAUAGGGUUAAAAUUGGAAUUACGGAUUGGAUAUUACAUUUCCAUGUCUUAGAUUCAACAUUGAUGCAAAACUAUUUGGUUUCAAAUCAAACUCACUUAAUAGAAGUUAUAGAGUUCAAAACCUAGUUUCAAACAAAACUGGUUUUGUAAUUUUUGGAAUUUCCUACAAUUCUCUAUUGAAUUUACAAGUCAAAAAUAUCACUCACAUGAAAUAACAAACAUCCAUUCACUUCCAUUCUAAAUACAGUACAAACUGUCCAUUUUCACAGCAUGGUCCUAAAACAAAAGUGAUAGAAUUUGAAAUGAAGAUUCACAUGUAACUGGUUUUAUAUUUUUUUGAAUUUUCUACGAUUUCCUAGGGAUUUUCAAAGUUCAGCACAUUGGAAAGGUUGAAAACUUUCAUUUGGACCCUUGGAAAGAUUUGGGGCUUUACAAUUGGGUCCUCCUGCCAUGGAUGGCCGGAGCAAGCUCGGGUUCAUCCCGAUUCCGGCGAUGGAGUGGAGAAUCCGCAAGGGGAAGGGGGUGGGAAGGAUGAGGGUAUUCGGGCGCACCGAUUGGCACACUUGGGAGGAGAAGAGACGGCCGGGGAAAGCCUGCCGGCGUUGAGGCAGUAGGGCGGCGGCGGGCGGCACUGGGGGCAGCACUCCGGCGAGGGGAACGGCGCAAAGGGGGUGGGGAUUAGCUUCAAGAGGGCUUGGGGGUGCUAUUUAUAGAGAAAGGAAGGGAGGAGAGGGACGCACGGCCGGGCGCCACGGCGGCGGCACGGUGGCGCGGCUCUGGCAGCUCGGGCAGGCGGUGGUGGGUGCGUGGCGGCACGGGAAUGGGCGGGGGAAGUAGGGGAUAAGGCCGGGGAAGAGAUAAGCGGUGCCCAGGAGUGGAGAGGGGGGGCAGGGGGGCUGCUCUGACGGCCGGAAUUAAAGAAGGACGGCGGCGGCGUGCUGAAACAGAGAAACAGAGGAAGCAGCCAGAGGUAGAAGAUGAGUGGGAGAGCGCCAAGGACCUGUUUGUAAUUUGCAAAAACUUCAAGGGCCCGGAAGUAAAACUAAAUUUCCCACUGAUACAGGGCUCUAAUGGAGAAAUGACCAAAAUGAAAGUUGUACAACUUUUCAAGCUCUACAACUUUGCUUUAGGGUUUGAACUCCAAAACUCAUGGUAUGCAACCUUAUUUUGGAAACUUUGAACUAACUUUAAAUUUUAUAAAGACUUGUCCUUGUUACAUAUUUUACACACAACUUGGGCCUAGGUACAAGUUUUCAGAACUGUCAUGAUUACUUGCAUUCUUAUAAUUUGGCCCCUAGUAACUUUUGAAAAUUACUUGUGUAAAUCAAAUAUUUGCGUAUAAGGACUUAUACUUUUAUAAAAUUACAUAAAUACCCUUGUUUUUACCACUUUACCCAAAAUUUUUACACACUUCAACAUACACAUUUCCAAUGAAACUUUUGGAUAAAUAAAUAUAUUUUUACAAGGGUUAAAACAAGGAAAACAUGUUUACAAAACCACUUUCACUUAUUUUGAAAUUACCCUAAUCCAAAUACAUUUUGCAAAAACAACCCUAUGUUUUUCUGUAAUUACAAAAAUACCCUUUUUACUUGUAUUUUAAAUUUUCAACAGUUUCACACAAACACACAAAAGUUUUAUACUAACAAGCGUACACUUCACACUAUCAAAUUAUAAGCCUAGCUUACAGAUACAUGAACUGUCACAGCCUUCCCCCCUAAAAAGAAUCUCGUCCCGAGAUUCGGACGUAAGGCUCUGAAGGGAAGAGAAGCAAAUCACCCAUUAAAAAUGGCAAGAAGCAAUCGCACUAGAGAAGAUUGAAGUUGAUGACGAGAGCAUGGCGAGAUGAGUAUAACGAGAGUAUGAAGAGAUUGUACAUAGGUGAGUUUGACAAGAUAAGAGAUUGUACAUGAGGACGAAACUCAUGGAUAACAAAUAAGGAUGGUAUAAGGGUUUGACAAAAUGAUGUUUGAAGUAUUUUUGCUCAGAGUUUAUUACUUAAAUAAUUUAGAGGAUGUUGAUUGUAAAACAUGCCUAUUUAUACUGAUGCAAUCAAGGGAUAAUGAUAAAAUGCUCCAAUUCAAAGUGUAAUGCUGGAUAUAUAUACCCAUGAAUGUGAUGCACUGUUUGGGAUGAGGAUGCAAUACGAGGAUGAAGGAUUCCAUGCACGAUUAAGAUGGUGCAUAUGACACAAUGCAAUUGCCAUGAUGCUGACCAAAUGAUGCAUAUCCCAUGAUGCAAGGAUGAUGAUACUCGCAAUGUAUGCACGUAUGAAAUGCAUGAAAUAUGAUGCAUAUUGUUAUCAUAAGUUGAUGAUGCACACGACUCGCACCCUGCAACCGUUUUCUCGUAACUAACACCUGGGUAGUUCUACAUCCUUAAGCGAGGAUCAAAAGUUAGGACACUAGUAAGGUUGCAUAAAAGGGGAUUGCAGUGGGGUUACGUCACAUAGACCUAGUCACCAGUGCGCUCCUAAUGGCUCAGUUAUGUGGCUGCAGCACACCUGAGGCCUUAGGUUCCGACACGGUAUCAUGGUCAUGUGAUUAAACACCACCACAAAAGAGGAAUAACAACCUUGUAGUGCCAAUAGCAACAAGAUAGACUUAGGAACUCGAGGAUAACUCGAAGGUUGUACUGGACACCCACCCGUUAGUCAGUCUACGGAUUUCCGAUGAUGAUGCAACACCAUGCAUUGACCAAAGAUGGUAUGUGUUAUGAUGUAUGACUUUUGCUGGGAGAAUUGUAUUCAAAAAGUAACUAUUGUCAUACAUCUUUUUAAUUUUUUCCAAAAUCAUCUGAGCAAAAAUUGAAGGUACAACUUUCAGAUGUUGUAGCCAAAAUAGCCAACAAUAUAAGGUACAACAUUAAAAGAGAAAAGGUGAUCACUGAACGAUGGAUUCAAGGGUUUGAUGAUAGUCAUCAAGGUUUAACCAUCAAAAGAAAAGCUCAAAAAGAAAAGCUCAAUGGUUCUGCCGAAACAGAUUCAAAGCAAGAUUAGGGGUUUGAUUUGGCUGUCAAGCUAAGAUUGGUGAUAGAGCUCAAACAUAAUCCAAUCCAAUUGAUUCACAAAAGACUAUCUUAACUCUAAAUUAACCUAGCAUAUUACGUUAACUUUUACAACACAAAGUCUAGGCAGGCAUUCAGAUACAAGCACAUGUUUCAGUACAUCAACAUAACAACAAGGCAAUCAGGUCAAUCCAAGAUGUCAUGAUGCAUGCACGUUCUACACGUUCUCACAAACAAAAAUAACUGCCAAGUAAUCUUGGUCUUACGUGGUUAGUUACGGUGGCAUCAUAUAAAUACGUCUCUCCCUAUAUAUAUAUACUAGUCGUUCUUACGUUCAAGCUUACGCAACGAGGUUAGCAUACCUGCAGAAAAUCACAAUAUAUAUAUAUCUGUUGAACCUUUCAUUCCAGCAUGUCAUGAAAGCGUCCCCAAACAUUACUGUUCACUAUAGAAACAGCAUCUGUACAAUUACCGCUGUACAGACAACGUUAACAUACGUCGUCGAGACAACGUAUUCACGGGGGGUACCGCAAAAUGCGGGGGUAUGAACAGCGAUCGCCAUACCCUGCGCCGAACCUUAUACUCCCAAUGUAGUCAACCGAGGUUCGUACAUUGGCAGCAUCUCAAGUAGGCCACUGCUUGAGAAACAGCGUUCGGUUCGCAUCACCGAUGGGAAGGCCAAGCUCCCUCAGUUGGCUGAGGAUCCUUACCUUCUUACCUCACGAUCGAAGAUGUCGUUACAGAAUGUAAAGUUGGGUUGUGCAUGAAUUUAAGUUUUGACAGAAAAGUAAUGCUGGUAGUUAGGAUUAUAUACAUAUAUAUAGCCACCUCUAUUUCCCUUAUAAACAUUACCCUAGGGCUUUACGUACUAAGCUCAAUCCUUAACGAAUCCAACGUAGUUUUGCCAAAUACUUUGUUGGUCAAACUUUUAUGCUGAAAGUAUUUUUAAGGUAAAAUGUAUCUCCAGGGUAACCUUAUAGCUCUGAUACCAGCUGUGGCAGAACCAAUCUGAAUUAUACCGGCUCAAGUACGCGAGUCCAAUCCCGAGGGCUCCAACGUGCUUCAAACGGUAUAAUCCCUUGGCCUGUCGGGUAACGUCCCGAUAAACCACCGAUACACAGGAUCAAUAAGGUUACCUCACACGAAGGUGGGUCCAGAGAUACAAUCACCAUCACAAGUUACAUAAUAGGGAAUUACAUUACAAGAGUUUAUAAUAGUAGUACAAAGUUUCAAACUUAGAGAAAACAAUACAAACUGUUUAAGCUAUGAUUUUUAGCAGCGGAAAACAUACGCGACGAUUACAACACGUCGUCAAGACGGAUGUCAUGUUAAGCCCUGUCACGACAUCACUCGAGAUCAUCAGUAUUGGCCGGGGACGGAUCCCAUUCCACGGACCAAUCAUCUGGAAGAGCACAGGGCCAUGACAGGGAAAGAGUGGGGUCUUCAAAGGCUUUACCUGAAAAACAUAAAACUAGCAAGGCUGAGUAUACUAAUACUCAGCAAGGCUUACCCGGGAUUGGGUAUACUUUAGCCCAUAACUAGACUUAUGAAGGCUUAUAAUAGUUCUGGGUUUAGUUUCAGCUGAAAAGCAACUAAGAAUAUAACCUAUUUUCAAGUUUUAGCUUUCAGAUUCUAGUUCGAUUAGCCAUUCUAGGUAAGCACCUAUACUAAACAAGCAAUGUAGAUAUUAUCAUCCAUCAAGAUUAUUUCUUCAACAAUUACACUUUUUACUCGAUGUGGUAAAAGGGAUAAGCAGUCUCAUACAUCGUGAGAGGCGGACGAUUCCUGAAUCGAGAUUCAACCUUGCAAGGUAAACCUAACACACACGCUUGGAAUACCAACAGGGCGUUCCGAAGCAACCGUUUGCCUUUCAUUCCGGGUUGUGGACAGGGCCACCACAAGCGACUGCAGGACCAUACGCACACCCUAUAUGUGCAGGACGUACGCCUGUAGCGCGACUACAAAACCCGUACUCCUGGUUGCCCUUGCAACACGUAUUCCCACACAUCGAACAUAAGUACCCAGAAGAAGCAAGACGAGUGGUGGUCAGUAUGUCCACUUGCCGGGCCGAUUGGCUACUAGGCUUACCGCUUACCAUAUUUCGCGGCAUGUGGCUAGUACUUUCAAACGCUUAGCCACCACUACCACAUGGAUCGGCCUUAUCAACUUUUAACGAAACAGACAGGGUAAAUUUCCAGGUCAUGAUACAACACAUGACCCUGUCCGUCAUCCUUAUAGUGGUUGCAGGAAUGUAAACAUGCAACUCCUAUAUCGCGCGAGUGACAGGAAAUCACUCAACUUCUACCGGUCCUAUUAGCGGAGCAACUAUCCGAUAAGGACUCGGGAGCAUUACAUUGGAUUCCUAGGAUUCAUGCAUCUAGGGUUUCACUUCAAUUCCUAGACUUAAUGCAAGAUAUAAUAUAGAUAGACAUAGAUUGCAGUGUAAAUAAAGUAGUGGGAUAUGUCCGGGGCUUGCCUUAACUGGUGAGGCUGGGUUAGUCAAGUUAAUAACGUCCGAACUUUUGUUCGGGCCUUCAGAGAAUUCCCUGACGAAGUUCUCGGGAUCUUCAGAAUAACCUCCUUCUGGUUCCGGGAUUAGCUGUUAAUUUCCGUCGGCGGGAGAGAUCGAGUAUACAUGAUAUGCAAGAUGGAGUUCAAUGGAUGCAUACACUUUCAUUUCAAUUCACGAUAAAGUUGCAAUUCAAAUAAAAGAACAUUACAUUUCGACAAACAACCUAACUACCCUGUACUGGGCAGUCAUUUAUCGGGUAUCAACCAAAGUAACUAGUUACGUUAAGCAACAAGGUGGGUUACCCUAAACAUUUAUUAUAACUUCAUUGGGUAGCAUGUUCGGUUAUCUAAUUGGUUGGUGUAAAGGUCUUGGCUUUAACUGAUGAGGAUGCAUCAGGUUUAGCCGAUGGAUGUGCUUUGGUCAUGUCUAACAGAGGCGUGUCUUAACUGAGAUGUGCUUAAGUAUUAUCCUAAGUAACUAGGUGUGGUUGCAUCGGCUGGAUUACGUCAACACAACAAUUGAGUGCCGUACAGCCGAUAAGGUUAGCUAAGUUAGACCUAUUUCAAGAAUUAGGUGUAACAGAACACUAAUAUUAUACUAGGUUGGUGAGACCACAAGUGCGAAACUAGUCUAACGAGAAUGUGGCCGAUAGGUGUAUAGUUGAUGGGUUGUACGUGACUGACUUCUUAGCCGACAAAUCGGCAGAUAGAAGUGUGCCGGUAAAGAUUGGAAAACUAAGAAUUGAUCGGACACAAUUGACCUAUAUGGAAAACAACUAAAAUCAGCUUGGAUUAGCCGAAAGCAAGAAUCUUAAGAUCUAGUGUGAAAACUCAGAUAAAUCGGCUGUUUAACAAAGGUUCACACAUAGCCGAUUCACAUUUUAAUCCGACAGAGUACCUAGCCGAUAGGUAUGUAGUCGAUAAGUGUAUCCUAAAGGUAUGUGAUCGAUAAAGGCCGGGGUGUGCUGAUUUUACAGAAAAGGUCCUAGCAAGAUUAAAAUCUACAUACAAACAUUUCAUCAACUACAACACAAAGGCACUUAAAUUCCAUAGCUAAAGAGCAGGAAAAGACUUGAAAAUUUUUACACAAGACUAAACAAGAAGGACACAAGCUAUAUUUCAAAGAUUAGCUGCAAUCCAAUAGGUUAACACUUAAGAACUUAUGGUAUAAAAAGGAAUCUAAGCCUUAAAUCAUAAAUAUUAACUCAUGACUAAAGCAUUAAUUUAAUUGAAAACAGAAAUUAAGUAUUUCAAGUUUAAAUUAAAUUCAAAUUUGAAUGUGAACCCUAAGUAAUUAGAGUUAUAAAGUUUCGAAAACUUAAACACAGCUUAUUGUGUAUUUAAAAGAUUUUGAUUAAAAGAUCUAAUUAGAUAAGCUUCACUGAAAAGAUUUAGUUAAUUGUAUUAUAAACAAAUUGAAUUAAUCCAAGAUAAAUAUUAAAACAUAAAUUAGAGUUAAAUUCAGAUUUAGAUUUGAAUUUAAACUUUUUGAGUAAAGAAUGUUAUAAGAUUUUGAAUAUUUAAAAAUAGAUUACUUCAUAAUUCAUGAUUAAGAGAUCUAAUUGAUUAAAGUUUAAAAGGUAUGCUUAGCAAAUUUUUGCUCAAAAUAAUUUGAAAUGGUUAUCUUAAAAGAAAUUAAAUUAUAUCAUGAAUUUAGAUUUGAAGAUUUUAUAUCACUUUAUAUGUCAUCUAUAGAAAUUUGUAUAUCAAAAAUCAUGAUCACAAAGUUAACCUAUAGGGUUAAAAUUGGAAUUACGGAUUGGAUAUUACAUUUCCAUGUCUUAGAUUCAACAUUGAUGCAAAACUAUUUGGUUUCAAAUCAAACUCACUUAAUAGAAGUUAUAGAGUUCAAAACCUAGUUUCAAACAAAACUGGUUUUGUAAUUUUUGGAAUUUCCUACAAUUCUCUAUUGAAUUUACAAGUCAAAAAUAUCACUCACAUGAAAUAACAAACAUCCAUUCACUUCCAUUCUAAAUACAGUACAAACUGUCCAUUUUCACAGCAUGGUCCUAAAACAAAAGUGAUAGAAUUUGAAAUGAAGAUUCACAUGUAACUGGUUUUAUAUUUUUUUGAAUUUUCUACGAUUUCCUAGGGAUUUUCAAAGUUCAGCACAUUGGAAAGGUUGAAAACUUUCAUUUGGACCCUUGGAAAGAUUUGGGGCUUCACAAUUGGGUCCUCCUGCCAUGGAUGGCCGGAGCAAGCUCGGGUUCAUCCCGAUUCCGGCGAUGGAGUGGAGAAUCCGCAAGGGGAAGGGGGUGGGAAGGAUGAGGGUAUUCGGGCGCACCGAUUGGCACACUUGGGAGGAGAAGAGACGGCCGGGGAAAGCCUGCCGGCGUUGAGGCAGUAGGGCGGCGGCGGGCGGCACUGGGGGCAGCACUCUGGCGAGGGGAACGGCGCAAAGGGGGUGGGGAUUAGCUUCAAGAGGGCUUGGGGGUGCUAUUUAUAGAGAAAGGAAGGGAGGAGAGGGACGCACGGCCGGGCGCCACGGCGGCGGCACGGUGGCGCGGCUCUGGCAGCUCGGGCAGGCGGUGGUGGGUGCGUGGCGGCACGGGAAUGAGCGGGGGAAGUAGGGGAUAAGGCCGGGGAAGAGAUAAGCGGUGCCCAGGAGUGGAGAGGGGGGGCAGGGGGGCUGCUCUGACGGCCGGAAUUAAAGAAGGACGGCGGCGGCGUGCUGAAACAGAGAAACAGAGGAAGCAGCCAGAGGUAGAAGAUGAGUGGGAGAGCGCCAAGGACCUGUUUGUAAUUUGCAAAAACUUUAAGGGCCCGGAAGUAAAACUAACUUUCCCACUGAUACAGGGCUCUAAUGGAGAAAUGACCAAAAUAAAAGUUGUACAACUUUUCAAGCUCUACAACUUUGCUUUAGGGUUUGAACUCCAAAACUCAUGGUAUGCAACCUUAUUUUGGAAACUUUGAACUAACUUUAAAUUUUAUAAAGACUUGUCCUUGUUACAUAUUUUACACACAACUUGGGCCUAGGUGCAAGUUUUCAGAACUGUCAUGAUUACUUGCAUUCUUAUAAUUUGGCCCCUAGUAAAUUUUGAAAAUUACUUGUGUAAAUCAAAUAUUUGCGUAUAAGGACUUAUACUUUUAUAAAAUUACAUAAAUACCCUUGUUUUUACCACUUUACCCAAAAUUUUUACACACUUCAACAUACACAUUUCCAAUGAAACUUUUGGAUAAAUAAAUAUAUUUUUACAAGGGUUAAAACAAGGAAAACAUGUUUACAAAACCACUUUUACUUAUUUUGAAAUUACCCUAAUCCAAAUACAUUUUGCAAAAACAACCCUAUGUUUUUCUGUAAUUACAAAAAUACCCUUUUUACUUGUAUUUUAAAUUUUCAACAGUUUCACACAAACACACAAAAGUUUUAUACUAACAAGCGUACACUUCACACUAUCAAAUUAUAAGCCUAGCUUACAGAUACACGAACUGUCACACUUUUUCUCCUCUUCCACUCCCACGUCUCAGAACGCUGUCGCCCGUGCCGCCCGAACGCCGGCGAGCUUGAGCUCACCGUAGACCCACCUUUCCACCGCUGCUCCGCCUACGCUGACACAAUCCUCAGCUCCACCUCAUCUUCGCGCAGCUUCCCGGCCAGUUCCCUUCUCCACUCGAACACCGGAGCUUCAUUCCCGACGGCCACCAUCCGCCGCCGCCUCCUGCCCACUGUGGGCAACUUGCUCCGAGUACCCCCGCGCCACCACGACCCCCUAGCCGGCACCACGUCAUCCCUGUGAAGCUCCACGAACCAUCAAGUUGAAUCCUAAGGCUGUGCAUCGUCCUCCCGACGAUCGCCGGUAUUGGACCUCGCCGCCGCCGCCACUGUCUUCGUCGAUUGCUUCUCCUCCGACACGAAUUCUUCCAAUUAGUUGCACCUGCACGUUCCCCAUGACGUGCUGGUUCUUGUGCGCAGGUUCCUUGCCCACGUUGACCACUGGAACCUCGUCGAGGCCGUCGACCUCUCCGCCGCCGCCUCGGGUCCUCGUUGGGAUUCCACUUUCCGGCCACCCUAGCCCUCGACAAGUGGAGCAACGGGAUCACCGUAAGCUCCUAAGCCUGUCCCUGCCCUUGAACCUCGCCGCCGGUGACCGCCGUCGCCGGAACACGGUCGCCCCUGUCUUGUUCUGUUCGGGUUCAGGGCCAAGGACUUUGGUUUAGAAGAAUCAAAACUUCAGGGGGUUUUAUGCAUAGCUUUAGACUCAGAGGAAUAGUAUCCAGGGACCUCCUUAUGUAAAUAUUGCUGCCAACUUAGAAACGCUAUAUCUUUUCGAGGAAAAAUCAUAAAAUUGUAAACUAAAUUUUGUUGGAAUCUUUAGAUAAAGAUCUGCAACUUUGCUUAAAGGGUCAACUUCAGUUUUUGAAUGUUUGAUGGUCUAAUUUAAAUAUCAAAUUUAGUUGCUUGUAGGCUUAGGAGAUGCAUAGUAAUUCAUAGAAAAAUGAUAAAAUAGUAAAACCAGUUCUGUUAAUUUUCUUUCAACAUAUAGAAUUGAAGAAAAAUAAUUAUCCUAGUAUUCUAAUAUUAGUUCCUUAAUGUACAAGUUUAAAUAGAAAUAGUAUAUAGUUCAUCUUACAUAAUUAAUUUUUCAUAUAUGUUAAUGGUUCAAAAAUCAAGAAAAUAUUUUAGGGUGCUAUGCUUUAGUAGUUUAACCUGUGAUUAAAUUUCCAACUAAGAAUUAGAUGUCAAACAUAUUAGACAUAAUUUAAUUAAUCCAUAAUGUAAUAAUAAUACAAAGAUCAUGUGAAAAAUUAGUAUAGUCAAUGAAUAAAGUUUUUAAGAACUACCCCACCUGUUGUUCCAUGCCACUAGUUAGGUAACUAGUAUAGCUAACCCUGUUGUUUAAUGGGUUUAGAUAAAACAUAUAAUGCUCGAUAAAUGACUGUCCAGUAUAGGGUAAUUAAGUUAUUUAUCGAAAUAUAACAUCCUUUACAUUGAAUUGCAACUUUAUCGUGAAUUGAAAUACAAAUGUAUGCAUCCAUUAAACUUCAUCUUGCAUAUCAUGUAGACUCGACCACUCUCGCUGACGGGGACUAUCAGCUGAUUCCGGAUCAAGAAGGAGGUUAUUCUGAAGACUCCGGGAAUCUCGUCGCAGAAUUCUCUGAAGUCCCGAACCAAGGUUCGGAGGAUAUUAACUUGACUGACCCCAGCCCCACCAGCGAAGGCAAGCCCCGGACAUAACCCCUACUUUAUUACACUGCAACCUAUAUUAUUAUUUAUGUAUAUCUUUAUGCAUUAGGUUCUUAGGAGUUGUUUGGAAACCUUAGUUGCAUAAUCCCAGGAACCUAUGUAUUGAAUACUAGAACUUGGGUCCGAAUAGCUGCUCUGCCUAUAGGACCGGUAGAAGUCGAGUGAUUUCCUGUCACUCGCGCGAUAUAGGAAUUAUGAUGUUUACAUUCCUGUUAUCACUAUAAGGAUGACGGAUGGGAAUUUUAUGUGGUAUCAUGGUCAAGAUGAUACCCCGUCUGUUUUGAUGAACUUGGUAAGGUCGCAGUGUGUGGUAGCGGUGGUUAAGUGUUUGAAAGUACUAGCCACAUGCCGUGAAAUAUGGUAAGCGGUAAGCCUAGUAACCAAUCGGCCCGAGGAGUGGACAUACCUCCCACCACAUGUAUUUGCUUCUUUUGGUUACUUUGUUCGACGUGUAGGCAUACGUGUUGCUGGGCAACCAGGAAUACGGGUUUUGUAGUCGCGCUACAGACGUAUGUCCUGCACUUUGGAAGUGCGUAUGACCUGCAGUCGCUUGUGGUGGAUCUGAUCCACAAGUCGGAAUGAAAGGUAAACGGUUGCUUCGGAAUGAUCCUUUGGUGUUCCAAGCGUGUGUGUUAGGUUUAUCCUUGCAAGGUUUUGAAUCUCGAUUCAGGAAUCGUCCGCCUCUCACGAUGAAUGAGACUGCUUACCCCUUUUACCACAUAGAGUAAUAAGAGCAAUUAUGUGAUUAUCAAAGAUGAGGUUUGAAUAAAGAUCCUACCAUGUUUGAAUAGUUAUAGGUGCUUACCUAGAAUGGUUAAUCAACUAGAACCUGAAAAUUUAAAAGAUGAAAUUAAGGAUCUACUAUUUGUUGCUUUUUAGCUGAAAACUUUAACCAAAGCUUAAAGCCAUCAUGAGUCUAGUUAUGGGCUAAGUUAUACCCAAUUCCGGGUAAGUCUUGCUGAGUAUUAGUAUACUCAGCCUUGCUUUUGGUUGAUUUAAUCCAGGUAAUCCUCCUGAUGAGCCAGCAUUCAUUACACCGUGGCCCUAUCCUUUGCCUGAUGGUUGGUCCGUGGAAUGGGAUCCGUCCCCGGCCAACACAGAUUCCGCCGAGUGAUAUCAUGCCAGGGCUAGCAUGAUAUCUAUAAUAACGACGUGUACAAUGUCUACGUUUUCCAAAUUCUGCUGCUUUGACUGAAAACUAAAACCUGUCUUGUAAUAAUCUCUCCUCCGUGGGAGCUAAUGAUGCUUUGUACAUUUUUGUAAUAUAACUGCCUGUGGUGUAAAAUAUUUUGGCAUUGUAUCUCUGGACUCACCUUCGUGUGAGGUACCUUGUUGGAUCCUGCGUUCGGUGGUUUAUCGGGACGUUACCCGACAGACCAAUAGUUUUAUACCGUUUGAAGUACGAGGUAGCCCUUCGGUGAGGACUCGCGUACUUGAGCCGGUAUAAUUCAGGUUGGUUCUGCCACAGCUGGUAUCAGAGCAGCAAGUGUACCCUGGAGAUAUAAUUAGCCUUAAAAAGUAAUUUUUAGUAUAAAAACUGAUUAAUCAAGUAUUUGCGAACUACGGUGGUUCGUUAAGGAUUAUGUAUAGUAUGUAAGCCCUAGGGUAAUGCUUAUAAGGGAAAUAGAGGUGGCUAUAAUAUAUGUAUAUAUAACUCUAACUACCAGCAUUACGUUUCUGUCAAAACUUAAAUUUAUGCACAACCCAACCUUACAUUCUGUAACGACACCUACGAACGGAGGUAAGAAGGUAAGGAUCCUCAGCCAACUGAGGGAGCUUGGCCUUCCCGUCGGUGAUGCGAACCGAACGCUGUUUCUCAAGCAGUGGCCUACUUGAGAUGCUGCCAAUGUGCCAACUUCAAGUUGACUACAUUGGGAGUAAAUGGUUCGGCGCAGGGUAUGGCGAUCGCUGUUCAUACCCCCGCAAUUUGCGGUACCCCCGUGAAUACGUUAUUCAAUAAUGUAUGUUAACGUUGUCUGUACGGCGGUAAUUGUACAGAUGCUGUUUCUAUAGUGAGCAGUAAUGAAUGGGGACGCUUUCAUGACAUGCUGGCAUGAAAGGUUCAUUGAAUAUAUAUAUAUAUAUAUGCAUUGUGGUUUUCUGCAGGUACACUAACCACGAUUCCGAAAUUAGGACGGAUAGGACCUAUCGACUAGUUAAUAGUGAGAGACGUAUUUAUAUUGUGCCACCGUAACUAACCACGUAAGACCAAGAUUACUUGGCAGUUAAUUUUUGUUUGUGAGAUCGAUUAGUGCGUGCAUGCAUAAUACACUAAUCAACAAAAUCACUGCAUACUUAAUGCUAUCUGAAAAAUAGGUACACAAUGGUUUUUCCUAGUUUGGGUAAGUAAGAAUCUUUAGUUGGGUAUCUUAGGUAUCCAUCUGAUUUCCAGCCUUUGCUGUUAUCAGAAUUAGCUAUCUUAAUCCAUUUUACCUUGUAAAAUUUCUCAAACAGGGUAAAAAAUAUCUUACCAUUUGCAUUGUUGUCGCAGAUGGCUGCUUCUGCUAAUACCUUUUGGGAUCAGGAGGGGCACUUUCACACCAAUGGUUUACAUUGGGAAGGGUUUCCUCGUCUUUUGUGGGAAUCCUUGAGUAUGUUUCAUUAUACAGAGCCUCCUCUGUAUGAUGGGGUAGAGUAUCGUGAAGAAGGAGUUCCCCGCUGCAGGGUUAAGAUGAUAAUUCCUCAACACCCUUUCCGCUCCUUAUGGCCUCUCAUAGAAGUGGAAGUGGUUGGAUAUCGUCUAGUGGAUACUCUUGAAACUGCUGCUUUAGAAGCUAUUAAACUCUUCUGCAAUCAGCAUCCGAUUGAAGUUGCUGCCUAUCCUAUUGGGUUACUUCCUACCAUAGACCCGGGUAAUUCGGACUGGGAUUUUCGGACAGACCAUCAUGGUCAUCUGCUAGGAGAUCUGGCUGAAGAAACCGUCCGUAUUGUUACCAGGUUUAUCAUUACCAGAUGCUACUGCGUCAUGGUGUGAGUCAGUUAACUGUUGUGGCUCAAAGCCACUAUCGGAAUGCUGAUCAUCAGGUAACCCAAAUAGAAGAAUUACAAGCCUUGGUGACUCAAAAGGAUGAAAUCAUCGCCGCAAGGGAUGAGACAAUCCUUCAUCGAGAAGAUCAGAUCAAUGAGAGUGAUCAUAUUAUCACUCAGCGUGACACUGUUAUUGAGUUCCUACAGGCACAAAUUCAUGAUCUGAUACUUGCAGCUGAUGAUGCUUAGGCUCACAUUGAGGAAUUGCAGCAGCAACCGAUACUUCACACUAUACCCAUAAUACCUGAAGAAGAAGAUCCCGAAGAGAUUGAGGGUGUUUCAGAGAUUGACUCUGAGCAUGGGGAUCCAGUUCUUAGUCCCCAUCACUCUUCUUCUGGCAGUCAAUCUUCUGUAGGCAACUUCGACGAUUUUUAGUUUAGCAAAUCGUCGACUAUCUAGAUGUAACCUAUGGGGAGUGUAAUAACUUAAGGAGUGUGUAACUUAGCUAGAUCUCAUGCCAAUUGUUGUAACAUAGAUGGCCUGCGUAGAGAUCUUUCGGAUGUACGAUGCGGAGAACAAACCGAACCAAUAUUGUAAUAUAAAUUUCCUGUUUUAUCAUCCUGUUCAUUAUCCUUAUGAUUCUGAAAUGAGAUGAUUGAAUGGAGUAUGAACUUUGUUUAUAUCUUCUGAAAUUGGGAGUAAGGCUAUAUGGUUAAUGAUGGACAUCUCCUUUGUUUCAGAUGGUUGGAGCCACGUGCGGAACCCCGGAAGGUUUCCGGGCUGAUCAGGCCAGCGGUUCUCAACAACCGCCACCACCUCCUCCCAACCUUGCCGAAGUUAUGGCUCGGCAAACAGAGUUGCUUAACUUGCUGGUUCAAGCGCAGCAGAACCAGCAACAUCAAUACCGAGGAGGCCGUGAUGAUCGCAAUCCUCCUGUAGCUAGUUACCAAGAUUUUCUCAGUACCCAGCCGCCCUUUUUCAGUAAGGCCGAAGAACCUUUGGAUGCCGAUGCCUGGCUCCAUAUUAUUGAAUCGAAGUUCGCUCUCCUGACCAUACCAUGUGCGGACUCUAGCAAAGCUUCCUUUGCUGCUCAACAACUCCGUGGUGCUGCUCGGAUAUGGUGGGAUAAUUUCUGCGCCAUGCAGCCCGCAGACCAUGUCAAAACCUGGGAUGAGUUCCGGGUCGCCUUCCGAGCACAUUAUAUUCCAGCCGGAUUAUUGGAGUGAAAGCUUAAUGAAUUUCUAGCUCUUACUCAAGGUGCCAAUACAGUUCUGCAGUAUGCACAGAAUUUCAAUCAUCUGUGCCAAUAUGCGGGGUAUCAUGCAGAUAAUGAUGCCAAGAAACAAGACCGUUUCCGUCAGGGCCUUAACACCAAACUCAAGGAACGCCUGAAUCUUGUGAGGGCUAAUACUUUCAGUGAGUUGGUUAACAUGGCCUUAACUCAAGAAGAUUGCAUCAUAGCACAUUAUGCCGAGAAGAAGCGGAAGAACCCUGCUGGACCCUCGAGUGCUCAACCACCGAGGUAUCGGGUUAUUCCCAAUACAUCGCCCAAAGCACCCCAGCGGAAUGCCCCAACGGGUAGAUUGGUUUUUAGGCCACCCCAGCAGCAAGGAAGGUACAGACCUCCCGUUCCUCCGCAACAAGCACAAUCAUCUGGCCCACGGCCAAAUGUUCAACAAGUGCCACAGAGAGGCAGCAAUUAUCGCUGUUUCAAUUGCGGAAGCGCGGAUCAUUUCAUCUGGGAUUGUCCGCGGCCCAAGAAAUCUAAUCCAGGGCAGAGCUCUACCCAGGGUAACCAGAAUAAGGGCAAGAAGCCGGUGAUGCAAGUCUGGCAAGGACGGAUUAACUUCACCACUUUGGCAGAACUUCCAGAUGGAGCUCCCAUCAUGUCGGGUACAUUUUCUAUUCACCACAAACCAGUUGUUACUUUAUUUGAUUCUGGAGCAACACAUAGCUUUAUUAGUAACAACUGUGGUAACCGACUAGGACUUGAUUCUUGUCCUAUCCAGGGGUCAUACAUGAUCUCUACCCCUGGAGGAAAAAUCACCUCCAACAAAAUGGUUAAAAGUGUGCCAAUUCAGUUAGGUAGCAUUGAAAUCAAAACUGAUUUGGUUUUACUAAGUUUGGAGGGUAUCGAUAUUAUACUUGGGACAAACUGGAUGACUGAACAUCGAGUCCGGUUAGACAUAUCUUCCCGAGUUAUCGAAAUUGAUUCACCGUAUCGUGGGGCCAUUACUCUUUAUUUGCCUCAGCCAGAAUAUCUGCAUUCUUGUACUUAUGCUAUCACAGAUAUCAAAGUCAAGGAUAUUCCUAUAGUAUGUGAGUACCCCGAUGUCUUUCCAGACGACUUGCCUGGAAUGCCACCAGAUAGAGACAUCGAGUUCAUCAUUGAACUUCAACCGGGCACUGCUCCUAUUUCAAAGAGGCCGUAUCGUAUGCCUCCAAAUGAAUUAGCAGAACUGAAAAUUCAGCUUCAAGAUCUUCUUGAUAAGGGGUAUAUACGUCCAAGUGCUUCACCUUGGGGUUGUUCUGCUCUCUUUGUCAAGAAGAAAGACGAUAGUCUGAGGCUAUGUGUCGAUUACCGUCCACUCAAUGCGGUUACUAUUAAAAAUAAGUAUCCUCUUCCCCGCAUUGAUAUCUUGUUCAAUCAACUAGCCGGAGCUAAGGUCUUCUCCAAGAUUGACUUACGCUCUGGUUAUCAUCAGAUCAAGAUUAGGCCUUGUGAUAUUCCAAAAACGGCCUUCUCGACCAGAUAUGGACUUUAUGAAUAUCUGGUUAUGUCAUUUGGACUUACCAAUGCCCCGGCAUACUUCAUGUAUCUCAUGAAUUCAGUAUUCAUGCCGGAACUUGACAAAUUCGUCGUGGUCUUCAUUGAUGACAUUUUAAUAUACUCCAAAACCAAAGAAGACCAUGCUAAUCAUUUACGUGUCGUGCUUCAACGACUACGUGAUCAUCGCCUUUAUGCCAAAUUCUCGAAAUGUGAAUUCUGGCUGGAUAGUGUGAAAUAUUUGGGACAUACUAUCUCUAGUCAAGGCAUAUCGGUUGACCCAACCAAAGUCCAAGAGGUUAUGGACUGGAAACCUCCAACUUCAGUCCAUCAAAUCCGAAGUUUCCUUGGAUUGGAGGGAUAUUAUCGCCGAUUCAUUCCAGAUUUCUCCAAGAUAGCCAAACCAAUGACUGAACUACUUAAGAAAGAAGUUAAGUUCCAUUGGGAUGAUAGGUGUGAGGAAGCGUUUCACACUUUGAGAAAACUUCUGACGACUACUCCAGUACUAGCUCAGCUAGAU
rnacentral:lncRNA from 1 species